rnacentral:rRNA from 1 species
AUUUAAUUCAACAUCGAGGUCACAAACUUAAUUAUUAAUAAGAACUUUUUAACUAAAUUAUGCUGUUAACCCUAGAGUAACUAUUUAAUAUAAUUUUUCCUCUAUUAAAAAUUUCUUUCUUCAAUUGUUACCCCAACAAAAUAUUUUCUAAAUAUGAAGCUUCUAGGGUCUUCUCGUCCCAAAAGUUAAUAAAAGCAUUUUUACUUUUAAUUUAAAUUCAAAAUUUUUAAAUAAAACUAUCCUUUUAGUUUCUACCCUUCAUUCCAGUUCUCAAUUAAAAAA